rnacentral:rRNA from 1 species
GACGAACGCUGGCGGCGUGCUUAACACAUGCAAGUCGAACGGAAAGGCCCUGCUUUUGUGGGGGGCUCGAGUGGCGAACGGGUGAGUAACACGUGAGUAACCUGCCCUUGACUUUGGGAUAACUUCAGGAAACUGGGGCUAAUACCGGAUAGGAGCUCCUGCUGCAUGGUGUGGGUUGGAAAGUUUCGGCGGUUGGGGAUGGACACGCGGCUUAUCGGCUUGUUGGUGGGGUAGUGGCUUACCAAGGCUUUGACGGGUAGCCGGCCUGUGAGGGUGACCGGCAACAUGGGGACUGGGAUACGGCCCAGACUCCUACGGGGGGCAGGAGUGGGGAAUAUUGAACAAUGGGCGGAAGCCUGAGGCAGCAACGCCGCGUGCGGGAUGACGGCCUUCGGGUGGUAAACCGCUUUCGCAUGUGACGAAGCGUGAGGGACGGGAAUGGGGAAAGAAGCACCGGCUAACUACGU